GAUGAACGCUGGCGGCGGGCCUAAAACAUGCAAGUCGAGCGAAGCGGGGACGGGUGAGAAAAACGGGGAUAACCCCCUAUAAGACUGGGAUAACCUCGGGAAACCGGAGCUAAAACGGAAACUUAUAGAUGGAUCCAUGCUGCAUUAGAUAGUUGGUAAGGUAACGGCUGAGCAAGGCAACGAUUCAUAGCCGACCUGAGAGGGUGAUCGCCCCCACUGGAACUGGGACCCGUUCCAGACUCCUACGGGAGUCAGCAGUGGGGAAUCUUCCGCACUUGGCGACAGCCUGACGGAGCAACGCCGCGUGUGUGAUGAAGGUCUUCGGAUCGUAAAACUCUGUUAUUAGGGAAGCGUUACCUAAUCAGAAAGCCACGGCUAACUACGUGCCAGCAGCCGCGGUAAUAC
rnacentral:rRNA from 1 species